CUCCCUCCUCCCCUCUCUGCUCCCUUCUCUCUUCUCUUCUCUUUCUCCUCUGCUCCCUCUUUCUCCUCUCCUCCCCGCUCUCCCUUCUCUCUUCUCCUCUCCUUACCCUCUGCUCCCUUCUCCUCCUCCUCACCUCUGCUCCCUCUCUCUUCUCCUCUCCUUCACCUCUGCUCCCUUCUCCUCUCCUCACCUCUGCUCCCUUCUCUCUUCUCCUCACCUUUGCUCCCUUCUCUCUUCUCCCCACUGCUCCCCCCUCUCUUCUCCCAUCCUCUGCUCCCUUCUCUCUUCUCUUCUCCUCUCCUCACCUCUGCUCCCUUCUCUCUUCUUCCUUCUCCUCUCCUCCCCUCUGCUCCCUCCUCUCUUCUCCUCUCCUCUCCUCCCUCCUUCUUCUCCUCUCCUCACUCUGCUCCCUCCUCUCUUCUCCUCUCCUCACUCUCGCUCCCUUCUCCUUCUCCUCACCCUCCUCCCUCCUCUCUUCUCCUCUCCUCACCUCGCUCCCUCUCUCUUCUCCUCACCUCUGCUCCCUUCUCUCUUCUCCUCACCUCUGCUCCCUCCUUUCUUCUCCUCUCCUCCUCCUUUGCUCCCUUCUCUCUUCUCCUUCUCCUCCCCUCUACUCCCUCCUCUCUUCUCCUCCCCUCCCCUCCCUUCUCUCUUCUCACCUCCUCCCCUCUGCUCCCUUCUCUCUUCUCCUCUCCUCCCUUCUGCUCCCUCCUUUCUUCUCCUCUCCUCACCUCUGCUACCUUCUCUCUUCCCCUCUCCUCACCUCUGCUCCCUCUCUUCUCCUCACCUCUGCCCCCUUCUCCUCUCCUCACUUCUGCUCCCUUCUCUCAUCUCACCUCCUUCGGCUCCUUCUCUUCUCCUCUACCUCCUCUCUUCUCCUCUCCUCCCCCUCUGCCCCUUCUCUCUUCUCACCUCCUCCCCUCUGCUCCCUUCUCUUCUCCUCUACCUCCUCUCUUCUCCUCUCCUCUCUCUCCCUUCUCUCUUCUCACCUCCUCCCCUCUGCUCCCUUCUCUCUUUCUCCUCUCCUCACCUCUGCUCCCUCCUUUCUCUUCCUCUCCUCACCUAUGCCCUUCUCUCUUCCCUCUCCUCACCUUCUGCCUCCCCUCUCGCCUCACCUCUGCUCCCUCCUCUCUUCUCCUCUCCUCACCUCUGCUCCCUUCUCUCAUCUCCUCUCCUCACUCUGCUCCCUUCUCCUCUCCUCACCUCUGCCCCUUCUCUCCUCUCCUCACCUCCGCUCCUUCUCUCUUCUCCUCCCCACCUCCGCUCCCUUCUCUCUUCUCCUUCUCCCUCGCUCCCUUUCUUCCUCCUCACCUCUGCUCCCUUCUCUUCUCCUCACCUCUGCUCCCUCCUUUCUUCUUCCUCUCCUCCCCUUUGCUCCCUUCUCUUCCCUUCUCCUUCCCUCUACCUCCCUCCUCUCUCUCCUCUCCCCUCCCCUCCCUCUCUCUUCUCACCUCUGCUCCCUUCUCCUCUCCUCACCUCUGCUUCCCUCCUCUCUUCUCCUCUCCUCACCUCUGCUCCCUUCUCUCUUCUCCUCUCCUCACCUCUGCUCCCUCUCUCUUCUCCUCUCCUCACCUCUGUCCCUUCUCUUCUUCCUCUUCUCACCUCUGCUCUCUCCUACUCUUCUCUUCUCCUCACCUCUUGCUCCCUUCUCUCUUCUCCUCUCCUCUCCUCACCUCUGCUCCCUUCUCUCCUCCUCUCUUCUCUUCUCACCUCUCCUCUGCUCUCCUCCUUCCAUCUCCCCUCCUUUCACAAUCUCGCUAUCUGCCAUGGUGUGAUGUCCAGUCUCCUCUCCUCUCUCUCUUUCUGUAGUGGAGUGAUGCCCAGUCUCAUCCCUCUCCUCCCCUCUUUCUGUCGUGGGGUGAUGCCCAUUCUCCUCUCCUCUCCUCUUUCUGUCAUGGCGUGAUGUCCAGUCUCCUCUCCUCUCUUCUCUUUCGUCAUGGAGUGAUGCCCAGUCUCCUCUCCCUCUCUCUUUUUCUGUCAUGGGGUGAUGCCCAGUCUCCUCUCCUCUCUCUUUUUCUGUCAUGGGGUGAUGCCCAGUCUCCUGUCUCUUCCUCCACAGAGUUUUUUUGUACACAUGGCAUGCAUUAAAAGGCCACCAUAAUACUGCCAGUGUGUGUGUAUGUUACAGCAUGCCUCAGGUAAGGCUGGAUGUGUCCUUGGCUGGGUAUCUCCCCAUGACGUUAGCAUGUCGACAAGCAGAUGCACAAACAAGCUCUACACACACACACACACACACACACACAACUGCAAAUCAGAAAUCAGAACCACACAAAGGGUUUGACUGUGUUUGAAUACAACACAUUUUUCAGUUACCCUCACAGAGAAAUAUGGCACACACACACAGUACUCUCUCUGUAAUCUACAUAGUAAAUACUUUCUCUCUCGCUCUGUCUCUUCCAGGUGGCUGGUGGCACCUUAAUUGGGAAGGACAGGCUCAUAGUAAUGGCUGGAAUGGAGUAAGUGGAAUGGUAUCAAACACAUCCCACACAUGGUUACAAUGUGGUUGAUACCAUUCGAUUCACUUCAUUCCUACCAUUAUUAGGAUACGUCCUCCCCUCACCAGCCUCCUGUGCUGUCUCUGUAGUUGUGUGUGUACUGUAGUAGGUGGUGAGUCAUGUUAGUGAUAGGGAGUAGUUCUGAAAUGCUGUGUGCAACUGUCACUCUGGUUGGGUUGGGUCAUGUGUUGUUAGCUCACGGCUCUAGUGGCAUGGCUCUGGUGCUAUGCUGGGCAUCGGGUACAACGUACAAGCCAGGUAUCGAAUCCCAAAUGUUUUGUUUUUCGUCUUGGGUUGUAACCCUUUAGUUUUCAUCUCUGCAUCCCCUCCCUUGUUUUGAGUGUUCUCCAGAGUAGAUGAGUCACUUCUGAACCCCCACAAUGCAUCCCUGGUGCACUAUAUGGGGAAUAGAAUGGCAUCUGUGU
ensembl:lncRNA